rnacentral:rRNA from 1 species
GUGCCAGCCGCCGCGGUAAUACCGGCAGCCCAAGUGAUGGCCGCUGUUAUUGGGCCUAAAGCGUCCGUAGCUGGCCGCACAAGUCCGUCGGGAAAUCCGCCCGCUCAACGGGCGGCCGCCCGGCGGAAACUGUGUGGCUUGGGACCGGGAGGCCCGAGGGGUACGAUCGGGGUAGGAGUGAAAUCCUGUAAUCCCGCUCGGACCGCCGGUGGGGAAAGCGCCUCAGGAGAACGGAUCCGACAGUGAGGGACGAAAGCCAGGGUCUCGAACCGGAUUAGAUACCCUGGUAGUCC